UGGGGAAUCUUGCGCAAUGCGCGAAAGCGUGACGCAGCAACGCCGCGUGGGGGAAGACGGCCUUCGGGUUGUAAACCCCUUUCAGGAGGGACGAAGGUUCGCCGGUGAAUAGCCGUGCGGAUUGACGGUACCUCCACAAGAAGCUCCGGCUAACUACGUGCCAGCAGCCGCGGUAAUACGUAGGGAGCAAGCGUUGUCCGGAAUCAUUGGGCGUAAAGCGCGCGUAGGUGGCCUCAUAAGUCCGCUGUGAAAGUCAAAGGCUCAACCUUUGAAAGCCGGUGGAUACUGUGAGGCUAGAGUACGGAAGAGGCGAGUGGAAUUCCUGGUGUAGCGGUGGAAUGCGCAGAUAUCAGGAGGAACACCAAUAGCGAAGGCAGCUCGCUGGGACGUUACUGACACUGAGGCGCGAAAGCGUGGGGAGCGAACAG
rnacentral:rRNA from 1 species